rnacentral:lncRNA from 10 species
CUCUAACAGUAAGCAGAAAUUAAGACCAGCUGGCUGUUAAUUUUAACUUUAGCCAAGACAAACCUCAAUUCAGUUACUUACCUAGGGAUGGAUCUCAGGCUGAAGACUGCUCUCCACCAUCCUAGAAGCAGGAAAAAAAACCUCAUCUUCCCUGUUGGAAGUGAGCUCAAACUCCAUAAAGGAGUUACCUGCCUCCCAUCAUCAUAGAAGCAGGAAAAAACUUGCCUGUCUUGUGUUGGAAACAAGUAAAACUCCAAAAAAAGGGGGGGUGGUGGGAGUUGUACAGCAUAAACAUUAAAUCUCAACCAAAUUUUGGGAGAUCAGGGAUUUUUUGGAGGGGGUGCUUCCAGGCCUCAGUAAAUUGCCCUAUUGGUUUGAGCCAUAAAGAUAACUCAAGCUGGUACUAAGCACUCAUAGGAGAUUUUUUCAAAGGUCAGAGGCACCUCCACUCAGAAUCCCUUUGUGAUUACCAAAAUAUGAACCCAGAAAAUCUGAGACAAGUUUCAGUUAAUUUAGAAAGUUUAUUUUGCCAAGGUUGAGGACACACGCCCAUGACACAGCCUCAGGAGGUCCUGACAUGUGCCCAAGGUGGUCAGACCACAGUUUGGUUUUCUACAUUUUAGGGAGAUAUGAGACAUCAAUCAACAUAUGUAAGAUAAACAUUGGCUCAGUCUGGAAAGGCGGGACAACUCAAAGUGGGGCAGGGGCUUCCAGGUCAUAGGUAGAUAAGAGACAAAUGGUUGCAUUCUUUUGAGUUUCUGAUUAGCCUCUCCAAAGAAGGGAAUCAGAUAUACAUUUAUCUCAAUGAGCAGAGGGGUGACUUUGAAUAGGAGACAGGGAGGGGCUCAUUCCAUAGGCCCCUCCCCACCGAACUUGAAAAAUCCUCACCUCUGAAUUUUAGGGGAGGCUGAUUUAAGUAAUAACUGCUCUAAGCAGUUCUCAGCUUGACUUUUCCCUUUAGCUUAGUGAUUUGGGAGCCCCAGUGUAUUUUCCUUUCACAUAAUCAAUUUACAGAACAAGAAAAAAGAGAAAGAGAGGUGACCUAUAGCUGGAGAAGUGGAAGCUGCAGCUGCAUGCUGCACGGUUAUGCCACACAGCCACAUUUCCUUCUAGGCUCAACGUCAUUUCUAGGGUUCCAAAAAUUGAUGAUGUUCAUUCAUUUUUUACACCCCUCUGUGAAGGCCCCAGUACUGGCCCAGACUGGCCAGGUACCCCACGGUGCAGAGGGAUAUGCAGCGGCUCCCCACAGGCCUGGCUUGGGCCACAUCCAUCAGCAGGCAGACCAUGGUGAAGAGACCUCUGCAAAAAUUUUAAGUGCAAGAGAUCUGACCUAACUGACUCCAUCUUGCCUUUAACCUCCAAACUGCCCUUGAUCACUUCUGGGAGUGGGCCAAGCUAACUUUGGGAGAAAUUUAGUUUGUAAUUUAAAUGAUAACAGCCCUUCCCACGACUAAGCCACCCUCGUAAUACUAAUGAAAGGCCACCAAGUUAAGAGGAUGAGAGGGGCCUGGAUUCUGCUAAGAUGUAGGGAUAAACAAUUACUCUUGUCCCAGAGGUUACAAGAUUUUCAACUUCCCCAAUUACUCCUGCAGAUAACAUCACUAUUGUAGAACCUAGGAUUGGACUUUUAAGAUGUAUUUUCAGACAGGGUCUCAUUCUGUCACCCAGGCUGGAGUGCAGUGGCAGAAUCAUGGCACAGUGUGGCCUUGACCUCCUGGGCUCAAGCAGUCUUCCUGCCUCAGCCUCCCAAGUACCUGAGACCACAGGGACGUGCCACCACUCCUGGCUAUUUUUUUUUUAAUGUUUUGUAGAGAAGAGGUCUCACUAUGUUGCCCAGACUGGUCUCGAGCUCCUGGGCUCAAGCAUUCCUCCUGCCUCAGCCUCCCAAAGUGCUAGGAUUACAAGUGUGGGCCACUGUGCCUGGCCACACUUUUGCAUUCCUGACACCAGAUGGCUCUACCGGGACCAGCAGACCAGCAGCUCCUUGGUAGCUCUCACCCAAAAGUGGACUCAGUGCACAAGGACCUUUUCUACACCCCUAUGAUUGCAUCCCUAGCCAAUCAGCAGCAUCCAUUCCCUAGGCCCUGCCCACCAAACUGUCCUUGAAAAAUUCUCACCUCUGAAUUUUAGGGGAGGCUGAUUUAAGUAAUAAGAAAACUCCACUCUCCCAUUUAGCUGGCUCUAUGUAUAUUCAACUCUUUCUCUACUGCAAUUCCCCUGUCUUGGUAAACUGGCUCUAUCUUGGCAGUGGGCAAGAAGUACUCAUUGGGCAGUUACACAAGGGCUGCUCCAGGUUACUGCCCACACAGAGACCCUGGGGACCAGCACUGACUUCAGAGGUGGCACCAUUCAAUGUCCUCUAGUGGUGACCUUGCUGUGACCGCUGGCCUGGGGCCCCUGAAGAGCUGACACCCCACAGACACCAUGUGUUAGGCACUGUGUGAAGGUUGGGCCCUGCAGAGUGGCCCCACACGAAUCAGACAUUCUUGAGAGUGAAAGGGGUGUUAUUAGCAAUUGUUCCAGGACAACAGGUGCCACCAGGACUGCCCAGGGAAAGCAGGACACAGCAGCACCCUAGGCACAUCCACCUCAGCACAGCAGGAGGCUGGCAGACACAGCCAAGGCAGAUGUCUCCAGAGGCCAAGAAAAGCGGGGAAUCACAGGCAACAGGCAGGGGAAGGGAUGCAGUGAGAUCCCAGGCUGUGGAGUAAAACGGCUCCGGACUCCAAACUGUGUCCCUGACCAUCCCUGCUGCUCCUGAGCCUCAACUGCUCAUCUGUACAAUGGGGAUGGCACUAGUGACCAGCCAGGUGUCAGGAAGAUUAGAUAAGUGCCACAGAAUGUGGACAGCACAGGUCCCACUAAGCGCGUUCUGCCUCCUGUCUUCUUGGGUCCUCUCUUCCUCCUUUGCUGCUUUUACACUGGGUAUUUUCCAAUGUAGCGUUUU